rnacentral:lncRNA from 1 species
CCGGGAUUAAUCUUUCUAGUGCUUGUGCAGUGCUGGACAGUUGACCCAGUGAAGAUCAAGUAGAAAACUACAUCAUCUUCAACCUUAUCUUCCUCAGUCAGCUGCACUGUAAUAACAGAGUCGCCAUAUAACGGAGCUUGCUGUGGAUUAAGUUUCAUGACCUCAGAACAUUGAACUGCAUGAAGCAGUACCAACAGUCCGAGAUGUCCUUCCAGGCCUUCCCCCAGGGAGCAUAGAGCAGCACUCGACGUUCAGCUCCGCGGGGCCCGGCGGGCGGCUUCGCCCUGGCAGCGGGGCCGGGAGGGAAGGGAAGGGAGAGGGAAGGGGACGAGGGGAGGGGGGGGGGAAGAGGCGGCCGGGCCGGGUGCUCUCCGCCCGGAGAGGCGGGCAGGAAGGAGGGCCGGGGGCUGCGGUUGCAACCUGAGCACCGCCGCCGCGCCCGCCGCGAGCCCGCAUGCGCCGGACCCAAAGCCGCCGCGAGCCGCCGUGCAGCGGGGCCGCCCCCGAGCAGCGGGCGGAGAGUGGGGGGCCGGAGCCGGGCGGGGAGGCGGCGGCUGGGAGCGGGCUGCGGUUCUCGCUCCUGAGUUUGUGGCGCUGCUCGCCGGCCCUCGUGUUCGGAGCCACGCUGGGGGCACGGGGUUCGGCACCUGGGGAACACCUGGCGGCUCUGCCGCUCGGUUGGCUCGAGGCGGCGCGCUCAGCUGCUCCGAUUGGUGGUAGUGUUGCGCUUCUGGGGGCAAAGGGACGCGGGCAGCUUUGGAUGCAGUGGGUUAUUUUUGUUUAAAGGGGGUACUUCCUUCCCACGCACCAAACUUCAGCUUCACAGCCUGUUUUGCUCGGAGGUACAUUGCUUGCAUUCCCACCUCCAGCUCUCGUAAAGCUGUCCCAGCACGCGCUGCCCAGCCGGGAUCACACUCAGCUGCACGCACACGCUGCCCUCCUGCCCUUAGCACAAAACACAGCAGCCCCACUCGUGCCCUGCAAAGGCCCUGCGCUGCCCCCCGCUGUGCUCCCUCAGGGCCCGCUGUUCCUCUGCCACUGUGCAGGCUGUGAAAGUUCGAUCGAGGAACAUCUCCGUAAUUAUUUGCACACCUUGCCCUGGGAAAUGGUGGAAAUGACAACGCUGCUGUUAGCAAAUACAGAAGCAUAGAGUCGUUUGAGUUGGAAGGGACCCUCGAAGGCCAUCUGGUCCAACUCGUCUGCACUGAACAGGGACACCUACAGCUGAUCAGGUGCUCAGAGCCCCAUCCAGCCUGACCUGCGGAGUCUGCAGGGAUGGGGCACUCACCUGUCUGGGCAGUCUUUUCAUGUGGCUGUGGUCUGUGUGUGGCUGGGCUGGAGGAGGCCGUGCUGGAAAAAAGAGGCUCCCCAUCCCUAUGGGGGGAGUCUCAUACAUCCCCUGUCCGGGACCAACAUGGGGAAAAUCUCAGCCAGCCACUGCAUCGAAUGCCCGGCCGUGCUCCCAUCAGUGCUCUGCCUUCACCAGGAUGUACUCCGUGCUCCACUUCCACCUUCAGAUCGUUAAUUCUGUCUUUAAAUUGUUAUCCAGCCCCAAAUCCGUUAUCUCAAAUAUCCUUCCUGCACCCACAUAAAACCACAACCCGAGAUGAAGGGAUGUUUGUGCAGCAGUGGUGUGGAUGCCGGCCUCCUGGCAGAUCAUCUGUGGGCAAAUUGCCUUUGACACUGGUUCCUCCAGCUUUCACCAAAAGCCUGCUUUUCAGAUGCUAGCAAGAAACUGAAAAACUAAAACAAAAAUCAGUUUGUCUUUCGUUGCUUCUUUUUUAAUAUGUCAUAAACUGCUGCAGGGCUUCCUACUUCUUGCUAGGGAAUGGGCUUUAAGUGCGAGCUGCACUCAUGAAUGAGAAUGGAAUUUGGAUCUGCACAACAUAAUCUGAACGUUUGUGUGUAGUGGCAUGAAUUAGCAAUAUGAGCGCAUUGUUCCCAUUUGCUGGAAAUUAGCUGUCCUUGCAACUGAAUAGAAAACAGAGUUCAAUGUAACGAUGGAAGCAGCAGCUAUUAAAGAUUUGUUUUCAUCAUGUUUAAGCAGCUACAAACUGAGAUACACAUGGAGGGUGAGUGUGGCUGACAACAGCGUGCCGGGCUUUGUUCCAGGGCCUGGAAAAUGAGGCACUGUAGCUGACAUAGCAGCAGCCACACCUGGAGAAGUUGACCGACAUUUUACUUCUUCACACUCUGCCAGUGGCAUCCAUAAAGCCCCACGAGCUGUAUAAUCUGCUGCAAACUUAUUGCCUGUGACUGAGGGCAGCCUUCAGCUGAAGUUUCCCUGUAAGGAUAGAUCUCGGUCAACACACAAAAUCCUCAGUAAGGCAGAGCAGGCAGACACUGGAAUUUGCCCUCAGGACAGCAGAUAGCCUGCAGUGACUGCAGUAAAAACACCCAAAGCAAAAUGC